ACACGUCAGCAUAAACACGUGCCGGAGAAGGUGCUUCAGUGCUGGCCGCACACUCGACAUCGUGCGGUGGUGAUGCCGAUGCACUCACGCUUCCCCUUCGGAGUUUAUCUUUCUCAUUUAUCUUACAUCAAAUUAAUGUUUGCUUUUCUUACGUGCCGUGGGUUUUGGGACGGUAGCACAUCUCCCGUGUUCCAAAAACUGGUUCUGACCCACCUUAAAGCACCUUUCCAUCCAUGCGUCUAUCAAACGUAUCCCUUUUACGGUAAAGCAUUGCUUUCUAUACCUUCGCUGAAGGUGUGUUUGUGGUAAACCAUCCGGUAUACGGUGAGUUUCUUGAAGGAGCUGCACAAACAUCCCGGCAGCAGCAGCAGCAGCAGCAGCAUAACCGUAACUUUUUUAGCCCAUUACCCACUAUCCCAACUGUUAACCCCAACAGCACACGUCGGCUGCAGGUGAGUAGCUGCAACGGCUGCCAAACCAUUUGGGUGAAUAAAAUUAUCCAAAAAUGUAUUAUUUACGCUCAGUCACAACCAGAUACGCAUUCCCACCCAGUUCGGUGCUGAACUUCCGCACAGCUACCUACUUUCCCUUUUCUUCGUCUGCAGGAAAAGGUUUUCUUUCGAGGUUUUUACCGGGUAUGGUGAGCGUACUCUGUAUGACCGAAAAUUCACUCUCCAGGAAAGCGCAGCAUCCUAAAACAGCAAAAGUAAGCAAAAGAUUUGCGCUAGAGUUUCAACCUCAAGCUAGGAUUCACCGGAAGUCAGAGUGGUGAAAGAGAAUAAUAUUCGAAAUUAAAAUCAAAAACCCUCACAAAGCGCACAAAGGAACACGAAUUUUCGUGUUGCAAUCAGACAUUCUUAACUUUUCCACAGAAGCACCGCUUUGAGAUAGAGUAAUCCAUAUGCACGGUGGAAGAUGCAGUUGAACUAUUCUAAAAUUACUUUUGCACCGUGUCGGGUUUUGAAUGCGCUUGGCACAUGCAUCAGGAGUGGGAGAUGAUUUCAUUUUGGGUAAUAAAUUCAUCAGAAUUAGGAUUAUUGUUUUGACACGUUUCAUGCGUAGUUUUCCGAAUUUUCGAGCAUGUUUUGUAAAUUGAAUUCAUUUUGUGGAAGCCUAGGGUAGAAGCGUAGAGUAAUCGAUAGCACUUGUUUGGAUAGUCAAGCCCCGAUACUGGUAAAAGGGUCCGGAUGGGAUUCGAUCCCUGGUUCUACUGUUAAAUGCAUAUGUGUGUGUCCGUCAAGAGCCUAUCAAACAUCUCAACUACUAAAUUUCCUUACCUUAGGCGAAGAGAUUCAAAUGAUUUUAAAAAGCGCCGAAAGCUAUGCAAUUUCAUUUUUAAGCUUAGAACGUGCACUUAAAAUUUCCUUUUUUCAUCCGUAGUAAAAGUUUCAUAAAAAUGGCAGCAUUUCAAUGGAAAGACAAUAUAAUUUCUUAUUAAACACAAAAAUAAACAGAACGUCCUUUCCAUGUACAACCUCCUGUACAUGUUCACCAUCCUCAUGCACUAGAACCCAUAAAAUCGCUGUAAAAUUGAGCUCCGUGUUGAGUUGUUUACGUGGAAACGAGCAGUAACUGCAAACU